rnacentral:rRNA from 1 species
GAUGAACGCUGGCGGCGUGCCUAAUACAUGCAAGUCGAGCGAACAGACGAGGAGCUUGCUCCUCUGACGUUAGCGGCGGACGGGUGAGUAACACGUGGAUAACCUACCUAUAAGACUGGGAUAACUUCUGGAAACCGGAGCUAAUACCGGAUAAUAUAUUGAACCGCAUGGUUCAAUAGUGAAAGACGGUUUUGCUGUCACUUAUAUAUGUAUCCGCGCCGCAUUAGCUAGUUGGUAAGGUAACGGCUUACCAAGGCAACGAUGCGUAGCCGACCUGAGAGGGUGAUCGGCCACACUGGAACUGAGACACGGUCCAGACUCCUACGGGAGGCAGCAGUAGGGAAUCUUCCGCAAUGGGCGAAAGCAUGACGGAGCAACGCCGCGUGAGUGAUGAAGGUCUUCGGAUCGUAAAACUCUGUUAUUAGGGAAGAACAAAUGUGUAAGUAACUAUGCACGUCUUGACGGUACCUAAUCAGAAAGCCACGGCUAACUACGUG